GCUCUAGCAGACUGUGAGCUCCAUGAGGGCAAGGAGUGCCCCUUGCCAACGUCUGGCAGGGUGCCUGGCAAGCGAAGGAAUAAUCGAAUGAAAGAUGAUGCAUGUAAAAUGCUUAGCUCGGCGCCUGCUGCAGAGCAGUCGCUCCAUGGAUGCUAGCAAGUGUUCUUACUACUAAACAAACCCAAGGACUUCCCUGGUGGUCCAGUGGCUAAGACUCCACAUUCCCAAUGCAGGGGGCCUGGGUUCGAUCCCUGGUCCGGGAACUAGAGCCCACAUGCUGCAACAUGUAGCAUGCAGCAACAAAGACCUAGCGCAGCCAAAUAAACACUAAAAAGAAAACAAACCCACACUCACGUUUUGAGACUGUCCACAUAGAACACGUGACUUUUGGGUCAGUCACUCUGCCAGCUCUACUGCCUUGGAGAGAGCACAGGGUGGGGGUCCUAGGGUCCCCCGCUCCCCCCCCUCCUCCCGCCCAGCAUGCUUUGACUACUUUUUAUGAUGACUGUGGGAACAGAGCGGAGAAGAGCUGCCUUGGCCUGGCCCCUGCUCUGCGAGUGGGGAGGCUGGAGUGCAAGCUGAGUAGGACCUAGGGACCUAUGAAGUCCUCGGACACCACCCCUGCCCCAGCCCAGACUGGGCUCACCUAUCACUGCGCUCAGCCUCUCCCCAGUGACUGCGUAGCUCCGGGGCACCUGUAAUGUCAUUUGCAUGUAGUAUUUCUAAUAUGAGAGUCCUCCUCUGGAGUUCACGGCUGUAGCUGCGGGACUUGGCGCGCACCUGGCCUGUAGCGGGUCUCCAUAAAUACGUGCUGAAUGAUGAAGAUGCAAGGGAAGCAUCUCUAGGGCUGUGAUUUCUAACUUUUCUGAGUCACUGACUACUUUGAAAAACCCACGAAACCUUUGGACAUCCCACCCGCUACCCGCCACCUCGCCAAGCACCCAGAGUGGGACAUAUCAUUUCAAGGAUUUCAUGCAUUCCUCCACCCUAAGGUCAUUCAUAAAGCUCUGCCUAAGAUCUUUCUAUCUGGGGCGCGGGCCAGCUCUGAGAUCCCGGCGUGGGGGAGGCGGGAUGGUGGGGAAGAUGUUACCAAGAGGCACACUCUGGGGAGCCCAACCUCCCCCCAAGAGGCUGGCGAAGAACGGGCAAAUGUAACCUCCUGGGAUCUAUCGCACGGGUCAAUCACUGAAGAACUAUGGACGGAGGUUCAUAACAUUGUACAGGAGGCGGUGACCAAAACCAUCCCAAAGAAAAAGAAAUGCAAGAAGGCAUUUGUGGUUGUCUGAGGAGGCCUUAUAAAUAGCAGAGGAAAGAAGAGAAACAGAAGGUAAGGGAGAAAGGGAAAGGUAUACCCAACUGAAUGCAGAGUUUCAGAGAAUAGCAAGGAGAUAUAAGAAAGCUUUCUUAAGUGAACAAUGCAAAGAAAUAGAGGAAAACAAUAGAAUGGGAAAGACUAGACAUCUCUUCAAGAAAAUUGGAGAUACCAAGGGAACAUUUCAUGUAAAUAUGGGCACAAUAAAGGACAGAAAUAGCAAGGCCCUAACA
rnacentral:lncRNA from 1 species